AAAAAAAAACCCAAAAAUUUCAGCCCUUAAAAAACAAAGCUCAAAGCGUAAAAAGAGGCUAAAACCAAAAAUUUCGUUCUCCCCAAAACCAAAACCCGAUGAAAAAAAAAAAAAAACUCUCUCCCCCUUAAACGCAAACACAGUAACGCAAACUCAUCAAACUCCCUCUCUUCUUCUUCACACAGUCCCAUCUCCAUCUUCAAACGCACAAUUUCCUCCAUGCCUCUCUCUACAUACACGUUCCCCUUCCUCCAAUCUUUGUCCCUUCUCUACCUUCAAACCCCUAAACUAUAGUCCACAGGCGCCAGCCACCCACUCCUUUAGUGAUAGAAAGUUUUUGAUUUUGAGACUUUACCAUCUGACCAGAUUCUCUCUGCAAACAUUACCGGUAAGUUUUUAUUUUGUUCUAUAAUUUGGGAUGUUAAAUAUGAUUUAGGGUUUCGUUUUUGGUUGUUAAAUAUGAUUUAGGGUUUCGUUCUUGGUUGUUAAAUAUGAUUUGAGAGAAUUUAGUUGAAUUCAAGGCGACAACCCUCCUAAACAUUAUUAGACAAGAAGAGAAUAGUUUUUUAUGGAAUCAUAUUUGCUACCUCUUAUUGCUUGAGCCAUAGCUUACAUACAAUUAUGACAAAUUCAUUUAAAGCUAUUAAAGAUGUGUGUUUGAGACUUAUUAAGUUUUGUUACAAGGUGAAUAUUUUAUAUCAAUAUCUAUUUGUUAGCAUGUGUUUGAAAAUUUUAGGAUAAAUGAGUUAGACUAUAAUUUGUUAUUUUUUGCUUUCCAAAUUACAAGUAGUGAUAUAUCCUGUUAAAUUGGCACUGCAUUCUUCUUUUUUAUAAUAAAUAAAAAAAUUGAAAAAAUUUGUUCUUCCAUUGGACCUUUAAAGCUUUCAAUUUGAAACUUUUGUUGUGAAAAAUAACUGGUAGUGAUGUUUGUGGCAGAUUCGAAUUUAGGAUUGAGGUCAAUCUCGAUGCCAUGGUUAGUUUUCUAUAUCGUAUGUACUUUGCGUAUAGUUUAUUGUUUAUGAUGCUUUGUUUACUCACCUAUUUAGAGUAAUGUUCAUGUUACAGACACAUCUAAGAAUUUGGAAGCCCAUUUUGAAGAAUGCUAGCACUCUAGCAGAGAAGUUCCCCAUGGAAGUCACACAAGAUCUAUGUUUAUUUGUACUCCCUCAAAUAGCAGCAUAAUUAGGUGGGAUAAUAAAUUUGUGCUGUCCUACUAGGCAAGAAGCAAAGGCAACCAUGAGAUUUCAAAGGGUGAUUGGAGAUGAUAAUUUAAAUGGAAGUUUUAGCUAGAUGACAUGACUAACAAUUCCUAUUAAGAAGAGUAUUUAGUAAACCGUAUAUCAAUGAUAUGUUAUAAAUGACUAAGUUUGGUUAUAUAUAUAGCAAAAAAUUGUAAAAGAGUCAUGAAGGUAAAAUUGAAAAGCUACAUACUGAUGCUUUUGUAAUUACUUAUUUGAAAUUCAAACCGGUUUCAAAAAUAUAGUUUGUGGUUUAGAGCA